AUUAAGACAGCGGAAAUUCCCAAAGGUUACUCCAUGCUCAAUUUCAAGAAAUUUCUCAGAUAUUCUUACAACCUAAAGAUACAAGAUUCAUCACAGGCGUCACAGACUGAAAAACCCACGUUGAUACUUAUGUCCCGCAAAAAGUCAAGUGUCUUUAUGAACGAAGAUGAGAUGGUGACCUUGAUGAAGGCAUUGGGCUUCAGAGUUGUCGUCACACAGCCUGAUAUGAUGACCAAUAUGGACAAAUUUGUGGAGAUGGUAAACUCGUGCAGCAUACUGGUUGGUGCCCACGGUACUGGGCUUACAAAUGCUGUCUUCUUGCCGGAAGGGGCUGUCCUGGUGCAACUCUCUCAUCUCUCUUUAUGGCAAAGAUCACCCUGUCAUUGUUGAUCCGGAAUCCAUAACCUCGAAAGGGUAUGAGGUUGCUGUGUACCUUAUCAAGCAGGAUUUUAAUAUUGAUGUUGUGAGGUUUAGAAAGACUCUUGUCAAAGCACUUGGACUUCUUGGGCGCUCAGCUCCUUUGGGCUGAAGAAACAAUGUUUGUAGAUGAAUCUUUCUAGUAACUUCUGAAGAUACAAUUAAGAAAGAAAGAGGAAUCUGUGUGUUAUUGGAAGUGAAAGAAAUGAUAAAACACAUCAAUUUGUAAAUUGCACUCUUUUUUUUUUACCAACAAGAUAACCGAUUCAUAGAUAAAUGGUAAGAAGAAAAACAUCAAAGAGAUAUCCAUCCUUAUACAAAGGCGUAGAUAUAGCCAAUCUGGUGGAUAGGACUCCCAUGUGGAGACACCUACACAACCAUAACCCCUACUAGCUAGAUAGUGAGUCACACCAUUUCCGCUGAGUUCAACAAAACUAAACUCAAACCCAAAAGUCACAUGCCAAUCUCCUAAUAUCCUCCACAAUAAUUUCAAUAUCGCUAUGAAUAGCCAAUUCACCCUUGAUCAUCCGAAUAAGGUUCAAAGAGUCGCCUUCAAAUUGAGCUCUCCUAAUCCCAAGCAUAGAUGCCAAAAUAAGUCCUUCCCUAGCUGCAAAUGCUUCAACAACUAAUGGGCAUUCAGCGCCAUAAAUCGAGCAGCUACAAAACGCCUAUCCAAAUCUCUCCCUACCAAUCCCACUCCUCCUUGACGGCUGUGAGCAUCAACCCCCGCAUCAAAAUUAAUUUUUAUCAUCCCCCACUGGCAGGGACCAUUACUGAAAUGGGUUCUGUGGGUCCGGACCCCUCUCCACCCCCAACAGUUUGUUGGUAUUCGUUUGGACCCAUUAAAAUUUUAACUGAAGAAAAACUUUGUUUUAUAUGGAGUUUUGCGUUGUAAAUAUUUUCUAUACGUCACCGUUCAACUAAAAUUCUAGAACCGCCCUUGCAUGUAAGCAUUUGUGUCUGUCUUGAGGCCCUCUGGACUGGUGGGGGUCUAUAAAUUACUCAGUAUAUUCUUAUCAUCCUUCCCAUGGUUCCUACUGAAGUUAAUGAUCUUAGAGGAUCUAAUUCUUUGAAAAAUGUUUGUUAAGGGUGUGUUACCGACAAUAAGUAAAACCAGAUUCAAAAUUGCGUGUUAGAUGUUUAUUAAGUAGGAAUUG